rnacentral:tRNA from 1 species
GCCGAUGUAGCUCAGCGGUAGAGCGGGUGAUUCGUAAUCACCAGGUCGUGGGUUCAAAUCCCACCGUCGGCUCCA